AGAGUUUGAUCAUGGCUCAGGACGAACGCUGGCGGCGUGCUUAACACAUGCAAGUCGAACGGAAAGGCCCUUCGGGGUACUCGAGUGGCGAACGGGUGAGUAACACGUGGGUGAUCUGCCCUGCACUUUGGGAUAAGCCUGGGAAACUGGGUCUAAUACCGAAUAGGACCGCGCGCUUCAUGGUGUGUGGUGGAAAGCUUUUGCGGUGUGGGAUGGGCCCGCGGCCUAUCAGCUUGUUGGUGGGGUAAUGGCCUACCAAGGCGACGACGGGUAGCCGGCCUGAGAGGGUGACCGGCCACACUGGGACUGAGAUACGGCCCAGACUCCUACGGGAGGCAGCAGUGGGGAAUAUUGCACAAUGGGCGCAAGCCUGAUGCAGCGACGCCGCGUGAGGGAUGACGGCCUUCGGGUUGUAAACCUCUUUCAAUAGGGACGAAGCGCAAGUGACGGUACCUAUAGAAGAAGCACCGGCCAACUACGUGCCAGCAGCCGCGGUAAUACGUAGGGUGCGAGCGUUGUCCGGAAUUACUGGGCGUAAAGAGCUCGUAGGUGGUUUGUCGCGUUGUUCGUGAAAACUCACAGCUUAACUGUGGGCGUGCGGGCGAUACGGGCAGACUAGAGUACUGCAGGGGAGACUGGAAUUCCUGGUGUAGCGGUGGAAUGCGCAGAUAUCAGGAGGAACACCGGUGGCGAAGGCGGGUCUCUGGGCAGUAACUGACGCUGAGGAGCGAAAGCGUGGGGAGCGAACAGGAUUAGAUACCCUGGUAGUCC
rnacentral:rRNA from 1 species